UAAGGGCAGGGGCGCCUGUUAAAUUUUAUUUAAAAAAAUGAUUGAGAAAGAGGGUUCAGUUAUGGAAAAUUUGUUAAAUUUUUAAGACCUGAAAUUAAAGUUUUAUUCUGGCUUUUUAGUUUAGUGAAUGGUGACCUUACAUGCGAUGGUUUUUUUAAAUAUGUUUUGAGCAGUAAAUAAAUUUAAUGAUUAAGGAGAUUUAGAAUUAGGUAUCAAUAAAAGUAUAGACAAAUCUUGUGCCAGCAGUUGCGGUUAGACAUGAUAUACUUCUAAAUUGGGUUCGGAUAGUAAUUAUCUUUUUAUUUGGAAUGAGGGUUGGUUGUAUAAGGUGAAAUUUUGCAAUUAAUUAAUUUUUUUUUAGAAUGAAAAAUUAUUAGAUUUUUAUAUUAGACUAGGAUUAGAUACCCUAUUAUUGAGAAUGUAAAAUAAAAUUCCCGAGUAGUAUUAGGGAUUCUUGAAAUUUAAAAAAUUUGGCGGUGUUUUAAUCUGUUCAGAGGAACCUGUCCUGUAAUUGAUAAUCCACGAUAAAUUAUACUUAUUCUUUAAGUUUGUAUAUCGUCGUUAUUUGAAUAUCUUUUAAGGGAUAAAUAUUCAAUAUUUUAAAUUAGGAUAUAAAUCAGAUCAAGGUGCAGUAGACGGAUAAGUAGAGAUGGGUUACAAUGAAAAUAUUUAUAUGGUUUGGGAGGUGAAAUUCUUUUAAUAAAUAGGAUUUGAUAGUAAAAUAGAUUAUUUAAUUUAUUUGAUUAUAGCUCUAGAAUAUGCACAUAUCGCCCGUCGCUCCUACUAUAAAGUAGGAUAAGUCGUAACAUAGUAGGUGUACCGGAAGGUGUACCUGGAAAGGC
rnacentral:ncRNA from 1 species